UUGCUCAGAGUCCAGGCCGGUUAGGACCAGAGGCUUCCCCGGGUGUCAUGGUGAUAAUCCACAUUCAGGAGACGUGUCUGAGAAAGGAUCGUUCAGACGUUUUGACCUAUUUUACAUGAGGAAGAAAGGAUAGAGAAUCUCCUUCCCUUCUGCUCUGAUGAGGAAAGCCAGAGGGCAAUGGUGAAGGAGACAGAGAGAGAGUGAAAGAACAGACUAUGCCCAGCUUCUCCACUGCAGGAGCUUGGAGUCAGGACUGUGAGUUUCAUGGAGACAAGCAACUGUGCUUUUUAUCUCCUUCUAGUGAAUGAAUUCCAUUGCAGCUUUGACUGUGGUCGAAUUACCUAUGAAAGCCACGUGUCUUCAGCAUCUAGCACAUAAUGGACACUCAGCAAAUGACAACUGAAUGAACAGACUAAUUACUCUUACCUUGAACAGUGACUUGUGUGACCUCUGACAAUGGGUUCACCAUCUGAAUCCCUCAGCUAGAUACCUUCCUGCAGUGCUGCUGCUCCAUUGACAGGCAUUCCGUAGGGGUAGGUUGUUUCCUAGCCAGAGCCAACACCGGCACUGAUGUCUGCCAUUAUCACUGGAGAGGCCCCGGGACUUCACUUGAUGCUAUCCCACUGGGAUGACUGAGAAGUAGGAGAAAAUCACGCAAAAGCAUGGGCUUGUCUAAGUGUUUCCUCGUCUAUUUCUUGGCAUCUUCCUUGUUUCCCUGGUCCUCCCUGCCCCAGACCGCCUUGUCUUCUCUCUUCUAUCCAGAAAGACACACAUUCCCCUUCUAAGUAUCACUUUAGAGCUAAAGUCUAAAGUCUUCUCCUAGCUGAAAUUCACUGUGCACUUGCCACUUGGCAGAGACUGCAAACAGCUCAGUGGGUGUUUUUAUAGUCAGCAUUAAAAAAAUAAUUGCCACACCACUAUUAAAGUUUUCCUCAUUGUUGUAACUGUUGGCAAAGGCAGAUGUCUGGGGAGAUUGACUGCCUGAAAAGCUUCAUUAUGCUGCAAAAAUAUUUUUGAUGAAAUUUCAACAGCUCCUAACUGUAAACUUUACCAUGUGGUUUUUUCCUUUUUUUUUUUUAAAGUCAUCCCCCACCCUUCUCUAAUAGGUCUUCCAAUUCAUGAAAACAUUCAGGUCAGUUGUUGAAUCACUGAAUCUUUCCAAGCAAUUAGCAGGUAGAAUUACCAGGUAGCAGGCAGUGUUUGCUUGUAAUCCGUCAACAGUAGUUGCAGUGGGGCUAAUUGUCAUCUUGAGUGGCCCUGCAACCACAUCUAAUUAAAAAUGUCAACAGAGAGUUAUUUCUGUCUUUUGUUCCCACUGCUAGGUUAUAUGUUUUCUCUUCAGAAAUCCAAGCUCAAAGUAAGACAGAUAUUUGGAACAUGUGAUUUACAGAAAAAGUCUUCCCCAGCAACCCAAAGUACAUGAAAGCAUUUAGGCCUCAUUCCGUUAUCCUCCUGACUUCAUCGGUUUCCAUCAGUUUAUAUAUUCAAGGCAGAUAUACAGUAUCUGAUAAAUGCAAGAGGGACAUGAGGCUUUUUCCUAAGCAGCAAAGUUAUAUUUUUCCAACUGGACUGGGAGCCGGGCUGAAGGAACAAAAACUGGAGCCUCCUAAGACUCACUAACACUUGUCUAGUAAUGGCAGUGGCUGCCAUAGCUGCUAGAUUUCUUGCCUUUGAUUCAUAUUCUUUCUUUCUU